rnacentral:rRNA from 1 species
GACGAACCGUGCGAACGUUAUUCGGAAUCACUGGGCUUAAAGCGCGUGUAGGCGGGCCGGCACGUCGGUCGCUGAAAUCCCCCGGCUCAACCGGGGAAGGGGCGCCGAUACGACCGGCCUGGAGGGGCGUAGGGGGACCGGGAACUUCCGGUGGAGCGGUGAAAUGCGUUGAGAUCGGAAGGAACGCCCGUGGCGAAAGCGCGGUCCUGGACGCCUGCUGACGCUGAGACGCGAAAGCCAGGGGAGCGAACGGG